rnacentral:rRNA from 1 species
GUGAAAAAUAGUCAUAUUGGGGACUAGAGUGGCUCUGUGAUUCAAGGAUCAUGGAUACCACUCCGCGAGACUAAAGGGAGUGAAGGUGAGCUUGCCCCAACAGAGCAUGGCUUGAGGUGUGCAAGGGUGCAAUUGCAUUGGCCUUGUUUGAGGGAGAAUUUGAAACAUUCAUUAGAAUGACCCUGGAGGAUGGAUCACUUGGCAU